GACGAACGCUGGCGGCGUGCCUAAUACAUGCAAGUCGAGCGAAUCUGAGGGAGCUUGCUCCCAAAGAUUAGCGGCGGACGGGUGAGUAACACGUGGGCAACCUGCCUGUAAGACUGGGAUAACUCCGGGAAACCGGGGCUAAUACCGGAUAAUAUCUAUUCAUACAUAUAAUCAGAUUGAAAGAUGGUUCUGCUAUCACUUACAGAUGGGCCCGCGGCGCAUUAGCUGGUUGGUGAGGUAACGGCUCACCAAGGCGACGAUGCGUAGCCGACCUGAGAGGGUGAUCGGCCACACUGGGACUGAGACACGGCCCAGACUCCUACGGGAGGCAGCAGUAGGGAAUCUUCCGCAAUGGACGAAAGUCUGACGGAGCAACGCCGCGUGAGUGAUGAAGGUUUUCGGAUCGUAAAACUCUGUUGUUAGGGAAGAACAAGUACCGGAGUAACUGCCGGUACCUUGACGGUACCUAACCAGAAAGCCACGGCUAACUACGUGCCAGCCGCCGCAGUAACAC
rnacentral:rRNA from 1 species